CGAAAGCCCCGCAAGGGGUAAGUAGAGUGGCAAACGGGUGAGUAACACGUGGGUGAUCUGCCUCGAAGUGGGGGAUAACGACCCGAAAGGGUCGCUAAUACCGCAUGACAUCCUGCCUUUGGAUAGGUGGAGAUCAAAGCCGGGGAUCGCAAGACCUGGCGCUUGGAGAGGAGCCCGCGGCCGAUUAGCUAGUUGGUGAGGUAACGGCUCACCAAGGCGACGAUCGGUAUCCGGCCUGAGAGGGCGGACGGACACACUGGGACUGAGACACGGCCCAGACUCCUACGGGAGGCAGCAGUGGGGAAUUGUUCGCAAUGGGCGCAAGCCUGACGACGCAACGCCGCGUGGAGGACGAAGAUCUUCGGGUCGUAAACUCCUUUCGAUCGGGAAGAACGCCUUCGGGGUGAACAGCCCUGAAGGGUGACGGUACCGAGAGAAGAAGCCCCGGCUAACUCUGUGCCAGCAGCCGCGGUAAUACAGGGGGGGCAAGCGUUGUUCGGAAUUACUGGGCGUAAAGGGCUCGUAGGCGGCCAACUAAGUCACACGUGAAAUCCCCAGGCUUAACCUGGGAACUGCGUGUGAUACUGGAUGGCUUGAAUUCGGGAGAGGGAUGCAGAAUUCCAGGUGUAGCGGUGAAAUGCGUAGAUAUCUGGAGGAAUACCGGUGGCGAAGGCGGCAUCCUGGACCGACAUUGACGCUGAGGAGCGAAAGCUAGGGGAGCAAACGGGAUUAGAUACCCCGGUAGUCCUAGCCCUAAACGAUGAAUGCUUGGUGUGGCGGGUAUCGA
rnacentral:rRNA from 1 species